rnacentral:rRNA from 1 species
UACGUAGGGACCGAGCGUUGUCCGGAAUCAUUGGGCGUAAAGAGCGUGUAGGCGGCCACUUAAGUCCUGCGUGAAAUCUUGCGGCUCAACCGCAAGCGGUCGUGGGAAACUGGGUGGCUAGAGUGCGGGAGAGGAGAGUGGAAUUCCUGGUGUAGCGGUGAAAUGCGCAGAUAUCGGGAGGAACACCGGUGGCGAAGGCGGUUCUCUGGGCCUGUACUGACGCUGAGGAGCGAAAGCGUGGGGAGCGAACAGG